AUGACUUGGUGCCACACGAACCCCCCUGGGUUUAACGUGCCCUGCCACAAGGGCCAUGGUGCCCUCACCCCGAGGCCAGCUGCCACCAUCCCACCAGGUCCCAUUUUGGGGAUGCUCACCUCGCAGCACCCCACAGCUGCACACCUGGGGUCGGGGCAGACGGUGAUGCCGGCCCUGAGGGAUGAGGCGCUUCGUGUGGGCACGCAGCCAUGUGCCGCCCUCACCAAGCCCGGCACUGAGGCAGCUGCAGCAGGCACCCAAGUGCUGCGCUUCCCCUCCAACGCUCCUGCACCACGCGUGAUUUGCAGUGAUUCAACCUCUAGGUACCUACUGAGACGGAAACAGAGAAAUUGGUUUUGAGAGCUCUGAAGCAGGCCAUGGCUCACAUAAGAAGCAGAUGCACUGAGGAGACGACUGCAAAUGGCAAAGAAACCAGAAUGUCCUGAGGAGCUCUGAGGCUGUGCUGCUGCCACUGCAGGGUGAGCUGGGGCUCCUGGGGCUUCCCAGGGCAUCUGCAGCAGGAGCUGCCAGGGACCGUCUGCAUUAUCUGCUGUAGAAAUGCACAUGGCAAGGGAGGACCAAAGGAAAAAAAAAUACCCCAUUUUGUACAGGAAUGAUAAUUCAUACGGUCGGGGAAGAACAUACUCAUUUUCCUGCUCUAAAAUGAAGCAGGGCAAGAAGAAAACAGUUUUUUUCAAAACAAGGAAUGAGGGCUGGCAAGCAGCUCAAAAAACAUGUGGGCUGCUAAUUGUGUGGAUAUUGAUGCUAUUUGUUAUAUCACAAUUACAUGUAUAGACCAGGUAGUCAUUAUGCUGGAAAAAAAAAAUCACCUACAAGACAAUGUGCGGAUCUGUUCUCUCACAAUUGAAAAUGUAUUUUCUGUGCUCUGCCAUGGAACUGAGACCGGUGUCCUUGCUCCUUGUGCUGCCCCUGUUUGUCUGAAUGACACGUUGCUUUGGGUGAUAGCAUCUGCAAAGGGUGGUGCAAGAACCUUGGGUGGAUGACUUUCUUAUUCCCAGAGCCUUCCUCUUUGCAACUGGGAGACAGGAAUGCACUUCUUGCUACAGAAUUGUUUGUAGUCACCUAAGUUUUACUUGGUUCUUCCAGAGUUACUCUCCAGCCUCACCAGUGCCAAUAUACCACAGUGUGAGCAAUGCAACUUGAAAGAGAGAAGGAAGACCAGCUGUAUCCUGCAAGCAUGAGUACAAAAGGAAAUAAUGAGUAAACAGUGCUGGCAACACGUGAGCUGCUCUCAUUCUUUUCCCUAGGACCACAUGACUGCAAACUUCAAUACCGAGAAACUUAUUUCAACAAUAUGUACUCUUCCCUCUCAUUCCUUCCCCCCAUCAUUUCAAACAAAAUAAUUCCUGCUGGUAUCUAUGUUGGACAGUGUUAGAGAAGAAAACAUUCACACGAGCAUCAGUUUAGGAAGCUCUGUGGCUAGAUAAAAUACAGUGGAGCUCCUACUGUAGCCUUUUUUGCAGUGCAGCACAUCUGGAUAUCUUUUCCAGUUUCUGAUUUCCCCAAAGUUAAGAAUAUAAUAUCACCGAGUUCUCUACCCUCCACCAACUUUGGCUGAAGUAUUACUCUCCCCAAAACAAGGAAAGGGAACAGGUUAAGGAUGGGCUAGGCUUACCACCUUUUGGUACCUAGAGAACUCCGAAAAGUCAAGCUUGCCCUAACUGACCUACCUCUUUUUCAGGCAAAGUUCUCAGUAGAUAUUUCUCCUACAAAAGGACUUCAGAAUUUGGUGCACUACUUUUGAAAUUCCUAAGAAAGUUGAUUUUCCCAUCCCCUUAACCUGUUUAGCUAUUAUAUGGCUCUAGUUGUUUUCACAAGAUUUGUUUCACGGACUGAAGUGCAAGUAGCAAACAGUGAAUACAAGUAGGAUGAUCUCUUGACUUCGCUCCAUCUUCAGUUUGACAAUGGCUGAGAUGAUAGCAAACAUGAGAGUAAACAAAACAGUAAAUCUCUCCCAGCUUUUAGACAGGUUCUCAUCUAUUGAUAAACCUACAUAAUCUUCCUUGCUCUAGGCAGCAAUCAAGGCAUUGCAGACAUACCCUCAUAAAACCUCAGAAGGAAAAGAUUUCUCAAGGCUUGUACUGCAAUAAUUCAAAGUAGUUUUACUGCAGCCUUUAUCAAGGCAUCUUUUCUUUUACAUGUGUAAAAAAAGGGAAAUUUGUAAUUUAGGAAAUCAAGUUUUUAUUAAAUAAAUUCUUUAUAAAGGAAAACA
rnacentral:lncRNA from 1 species